UACACAUAUGUGCUUCCUUCUUGAGU
rnacentral:piRNA from 1 species